GACGAACGCUGGCGGCGUGCUUAACACAUGCAAGUCGAACGGAAAGGCCCUGCUUUUGUGGGGUGCUCGAGUGGCGAACGGGUGAGUAACACGUGAGUAACCUGCCCUUGACUUUGGGAUAACUUCAGGAAACUGGGGCUAAUACCGGAUAGGAGCUCCUGCUGCAUGGUGGGGGUUGGAAAGUUUCGGCGGUUGGGGAUGGACUCGCGGCUUAUCAGCUUGUUGGUGGGGUAGUGGCUUACCAAGGCUUUGUCGGGUAGCCGGCCUGAGAGGGUGACCGGCCACGUUGGGACUGAGAUACGGCCCAGACUCCUACGGGAGGCAGCAGUGGGGAAUAUUGCACAAUGGGCGGAAGCCUGAUGCAGCAACGCCGCGUGCGGGAUGGCGGCCUUCGGGUUGUAAACCGCUUUCGCCUGUGACGAAGCGUGAGUGACGGUAAUGGGUAAAGAAGCACCGGCUAACUACGUG
rnacentral:rRNA from 1 species